rnacentral:rRNA from 1 species
UACGUAGGGUGCAAGCGUUGUCCGGAAUUAUUGGGCGUAAAGAGCUCGUAGGUGGCCUGUCGCGUCGGCUGUGAAAACUCGGGGCUCAACUCCGGGCUUGCAGUCGAUACGGGCAGGCUAGAGUUCGGCAGGGGAGACUGGAAUUCCUGGUGUAGCGGUGGAAUGCGCAGAUAUCAGGAGGAACACCGAUGGCGAAGGCAGAUCUCUGGGCCGUAACUGACGCUGAGGAGCGAAAGCAUGGGGAGCGAACAGG